rnacentral:sRNA from 1 species
AACAGCCAGAGAGCAAGCAGAAGCUCAUGAGGCUGAAUGCUUAGGCUUAGCACUGGCACACUCACUUUUGUAUAUAUAUUAUUAACCAAAGCCAAUCAGAUGAUCUAGCCCAAAGUCGAGAGGCAGAGGAAUAGCCUCAUCCAGGAGAAGUGAAGCCAACAUUAAUUCACACAGACAUGUAUGUGAAUAGCAUUGGUCCAGUGAACGCUAUCAAUAUGGAAUACACUAUUGAUAUAUUUUUUGCGCAAACAUGGUAUGACAGACGUUUGAAAUUUAACAGCACCAUUAAAGUCCUCCGAUUGAACAGCAACAUGGUGGGGAAAAUCUGGAUUCCAGACACUUUCUUCAGAAACUCCAAAAAGGCUGAUGCACACUGGAUCACCACCCCCAACAGGAUGCUGAGAAUUUGGAAUGAUGGUCGAGUGCUCUACACCCUAAGGUUGACAAUUGAUGCUGAGUGCCAAUUACAAUUGCACAACUUCCCAAUGGAUGAACACUCCUGCCCCUUGGAGUUCUCUAGUUAUGGCUAUCCACGUGAAGAAAUUGUUUAUCAAUGGAAGCGAAGUUCUGUUGAAGUGGGCGACACAAGAUCCUGGAGGCUUUAUCAAUUCUCAUUUGUUGGUCUAAGAAAUACCACCGAAGUAGUGAAGACAACUUCUGGAGAUUAUGUGGUCAUGUCUGUCUACUUUGAUCUGAGCAGAAGAAUGGGAUACUUUACCAUCCAGACCUAUAUCCCCUGCACACUCAUUGUCGUCCUAUCCUGGGUGUCUUUCUGGAUCAAUAAGGAUGCUGUUCCAGCCAGAACAUCUUUAGGUAUCACCACUGUCCUGACAAUGACCACCCUCAGCACCAUUGCCCGGAAAUCGCUCCCC